GACCUCAAACUCGGAGUCAUUGCUGUAUGGUGUGUCCUCGAUAACAUCACGAUGAACAAGUUGUGGUGGUCCCUGGUGUUUGUGGCACACACACUGCCACAUGUUUUCUGCCGGAAAGAGUCUGUUGACAUCAGCAAGGGACAACAGCAAGGCGACAGUCUCAGGGAGCUGAGAGAACUAGUUGAAAAACUGGACAAGAGACUGGAUAGCUUUGAAAAGAAAUUUGAAGAUCAAGAAAAGAUCAACCAGCAACUAAAAUCAUCUCUUGAAGAAUGCAUCCGUAAAGAACAGGAACCCAGAGUAGAUCCAGUAGUGACCAGGCGAUAGAUGGAUUAUCAGAAUCCCACCUUAAAAAAAGAUCAGACGACACCGCCAGCUGGGAGCCUGUCGUGGCUCAGGUGACACAACGACUGAACCUGGCGGAGGCCAACAUCCAGGCCUUGAAGAAUGCCGACAUCGCUGAACAACAGGCGAGAGGUACGGUGUACGUGCGUUGGGGUCAAAGUGCGUGUCCUACCUCAGCCGAUCUAGUCUACUCAGGCUACGUCGGCGGAUCCUGGUACGGACACACAGGUGCAGCAGUGAAUUACCUGUGUCUGCCACCGACCCCACCUUCACCAAUCACACCCUUCCUAGAUACGGACACGCUCUACUUUACGGCGCGGAGUACGAAACUUGCGAUGAGCCGGAGUGCGACCUGUCGCCCAGCUGCGCCCGUGUGUCACAUCUCGCGCGAGUCCUCCGUCAUGCUCCCAGCCAGGGACACCUGCUACCCGGGGUGGACUCUCGAGUACUCCGGGUACCUCAUGACCAAUCAUUUUAGCUACGCGGCUAGUAUGGAGUUCAUCUGUGUCGAUUCAAGUCUCGGGUACAUCCUUAGCAGUAAGGCCAACGACAACGGUGCUCUGCUUCACUACACAACUAUAUCAGUGCGGCAGUCUGCCCUGUCCUCCCUACAUCGUCGAUAAAGUCGUCUCCUGUGCUGUUUGCUCGAAAUAAAUGACAACUGGAUGAGUAA